rnacentral:rRNA from 1 species
GAUGAACGCUGGCGGCGUGCCUAAUACAUGCAAGUCGAGCGAACGGACGAGAAGCUUGCUUCUCUGAUGUUAGCGGCGGACGGGUGAGUAACACGUGGAUAACCUACCUAUAAGACUGGGAUAACUUCGGGAAACCGGAGCUAAUACCGGAUAAUAUUUUGAACCGCAUGGUUCAAAAGUGAAAGACGGUCUUGCUGUCACUUAUAGAUGGAUCCGCGCUGCAUUAGCUAGUUGGUAAGGUAACGGCUUACCAAGGCAACGAUGCAUAGCCGACCUGAGAGGGUGAUCGGCCACACUGGAACUGAGACACGGUCCAGACUCCUACGGGAGGCAGCAGUAGGGAAUCUUCCGCAAAGGGCGAAAGCCUGACGGAGCAACGCCGCGUGAGAGAUGAAGGUCUUCGGAUCGUAAAACUCUGUUAUUAGGGAAGAACAUAUGUGUAAGUAACUGUGCACAUAUUGACGGUACCUAAUCAGAAAGCCACGGCUAACUACGUG